rnacentral:rRNA from 1 species
AUUCUGGGCGUAAGCGUACGCAGGCGGUUUGUUAAGCGAGAUGUGAAAGCCCCGGGCUCAACCUGGGAACUGCAUUUCGAACUGGCAAACUAGAGUGUGAUAGAGGGUGGUAGAAUUUCAGGUGUAGCGGUGAAAUGCGUAGAGAUCUGAAGGAAUACCGAUGGCGAAGGCAGCCACCUGGGUCAACACUGACGCUCAUGUACGAAAGCGUGGGGAGCAAACGGGAUUAGAUACCCCGGUAGUCCACGCCGUAAACGAUGUCUACUAGAAGCUCGGAACCUCGGUUCUGUUUUUCAAAGCUAACGCAUUAAGUAGACCGCCUGGGGAGUACGGCCGCAAGGUUAAAACUCAAAUGAAUUGACGGGGGCCCGCACAAGCGGUGGAGCAUGUGGUUUAAUUCGAUGCAACGCGAAGAACCUUACCUACACUUGACAUACAGAGAACUUUC